CCUCUUAUGGGCUUACCUCUCAUUUCUCAGUUGGCCAAGAUUUUAAGCUCGACUUAUUUUAGCACGAGGUGCUAUACUUCUGAGAGUUUUUUUAUGGGGUUAUCCCUAGCUUCUUGAUUGGUCAAAGUCUUGAGAUUGGCUCGUUUUGGCAUGAGGAGCCAUGCUUCUAAGGAUCCUCUUAUCGGGUCCUUGCUUUUUGGUCGGUCAAGGUCUUGAGCUCAGCUUAUUUGACAUAAGGAGUUGUGCUUUUUAGGG
rnacentral:lncRNA from 1 species